rnacentral:rRNA from 1 species
GGGUUAGUCCGUACGACCGAACCCUUGUCCCUAUUUGCCAGCGAUUCGGUCGGGAACUCUAGGGAGACUGCCGGUGACAAACCGGAGGAAGGUGGGGACGACGUCAAGUCAUCAUGGCCCUUACGGGUAGGGCUACACACGUGCUACAAUGGCCGGUACAAUGGGUUGCGAAUCCGCGAGGUGGAGCUAAUCCCAUAAAGCCGGUCUCAGUCCGGAUCGGAGUCUGCAACUCGACUCCGUGAAGUCGGAAUCGCUAGUAAUCGUGAAUCAGAAUGUCACGGUGAAUACGUUCCCGGGCCUUGUACACACCGCCCGUCACACCAUGGGAGUGGACUGCACCAGAAGUGGUUAGCCUAACUUCGGAGGGCGAUCACCACGGUGUGGUUCAUGACUGGGGUGAAGUCGUAACAAGGGUA